UACGUAGGGGGCAAGCGUUGUCCGGAUUUAUUGGGCGUAAAGAGCGUGUAGGCGGCCAGGUAGGUCAGCUGUGAAAACUCGAGGCUCAACCUCGAGACGCCGGUUGAAACCAUCUGGCUAGAGUCCGGAAGAGGAGAGUGGAAGUUCCUGGUGUAGCGGUGAAAUGCGCAGAUAUCAGGAAGAACACCCGUGGCUAAGACGGCUCUCUAGUACGGUACUGACGCUGAGACGCGAAAGCGUGGGGAGCGAACAGG
rnacentral:rRNA from 1 species